GAUGAACGCUGGCGGCGUGCCUAAUACAUGCAAGUCGAGCGAACGGACGAGAAGCUUGCUUCUCUGAUGUUAGCGGCGGACGGGUGAGUAACACGUGGAUCACCUACCUAUAAGACUGGGAUAACUUCGGGAAACCGUAGCUAAUACCGUAUAAUAUUUUGAACCGCAUGGUUCAAAAGUGAAAGACGGUCUUGCUGUCACUUAUAGAUGGAUCCGCGCUGCAUUAGCUAGUUGGUAAGGUAACGGCUUACCAAGGCAACGAUGCAUAGACGACCUGAGAGGGGGAUCGGCCACACGGGAACUGAGACACGGACCAGACUCCUACGGGAGGCAGCAGUAGGGAAUCUUCCGCAAUGGGCGAAAGCAUGACGGAGCAACGCCGCGUGAGUGAUGAAGGUCUUCGGAUCGUAAAACUCUGUUAUUAGGGAAGAACAUAUGUGUAAGGAACUGUGCACAUCUUGACGGUACCUAAUAAGAAAGCCACGGCUAACUACGUG
rnacentral:rRNA from 1 species